AAGCUUCAUCUACAGGACGUCGGGCCGCAUGCAUGGUGGGUGAGAGAGAAAGAAUGGUAAAGCCACAAGACACUGAGGCAGCUGAGUACGAGGGGUCAUCGUAAGUGCCCCCAGUGUCCACACUGUAUGGUGUUUAAGGCAAACUUAAGAGAUACUCACGUUGUUUGAUUGCUACCGAGAGGUCAGCAGACCUUCUGGUCCAAGAUGAGCUUCCCUUCUCAACACUGCUCUGCCUGGAACUGUCCCACAGUUGGGAUGUUGAUGCCGGAUCAUGCAUGAACUGCCUCCUAUCUAGGAUUCACAUACACACUGGGGGCAAUCUACAGCAGAAAGUUAACCCACCAACCCCCGCUGCCUUUGGACUUGGGCAGAAAUCAGAUCAUCAAGGAAGAAUGCCGGAGGUCAGGAUUGAACCCAGAUUUCCGAUGUUGUGA